GAGAGUGGCGCACGGGUGAGUAACGCGUGGGAACCUGCCCUGGGGUACGGAAUAACGCCGGGAAACUGGCGCUAAUACCGUAUGUCUCCUUCGGGAGAAAGAUUUAUCGCCCUGGGAUGGGCCCGCGUCCGAUUAGCUAGUUGGUAAGGUAAUGGCUUACCAAGGCGACGAUCGGUAGCUGGUCUGAGAGGAUGACCAGCCACACUGGGACUGAGACACGGCCCAGACUCCUACGGGAGGCAGCAGUGGGGAAUAUUGGACAAUGGGCGCAAGCCUGAUCCAGCAACGCCGCGUGGAUGAAGAAGGCCUUCGGGUUGUAAAGUCCUUUCGGCAGGGACGAUGAUGACGGUACCUGCAGAAGAAGCCCCGGCUAACUUCGUGCCAGCAGCCGCGGUAAUACGAAGGGGGCUAGCGUUGUUCGGAAUUACUGGGCGUAAAGGGCGCGUAGGCGGACGCGCAAGUCAGGGGUGAAAUCCCGGGGCUCAACCUCGGAAUUGCCUUUGAGA
rnacentral:rRNA from 1 species